CUCCCUUUUGUCUGUGCUCCCCCACCCACCUACACUCUCCCAUUCCACCACUACAGGAUCGCCCUACUCUGGGGCAUCAAACCUUCCUGGAACCAAGGCUACAUAUGUCUCUGGAGCCAUGGAUCCCUCCAGGUACAUUUCUUGGUUGGUGGUCUAGACUUUGGGAGAACUGGGUGGUCAGGCCAGCCUAUGUUAAUUCUUCUAAUGGGGUUGCAAUCCCCCUCUGCUCCUCUGGUCCUUCUGCCAGCUUCCCUACCAGGUACCCUGAGUUUCAAGUCUUCAUUCUUAUUCAGUAAGCAUUUUACAGACUGAUCUACAUAUCUCCAUUCCUGAAAGGUGUUUGUUUGUUUGUUUGGUACUUUGGGUUUUGGGUUUUGGUGUGUGUAAGAGUGUGUGUGUGUGUGUGUGUGUGUUUUAACUACUGCAUAUUUUAUCUUAGUCUACUUGGACUUUUAUUUUAAAAAUAACACUUCACUGGGCAAUUUAUACAUACAUUUUAUGUUAUACAUUUUAAUCAAUUUUUAAACUCUAUGCAUACAGUGUAUUUUGAUGUAUUAUGGUCAUAUUUACCCCUAUUCCUCCUCUCAGGUCUACUCCCUAGCUCCUCCUUACUUCAUGUCUUGUUUUUUUUAGUAGUCCAC
rnacentral:lncRNA from 1 species